AACCGAGGCUAAUACCGGAUAUGACGCGCACAGGCAUCUGUUGCGUGUGGAAAGUUUUUCGGCUGUGGAUGGGCUCGCGGCCUAUCGGCUUGUUGGUGGGGUGAUGGCCUACCAAGGCGACGACGGGUAGCCGGCCUGAGAGGGUGACCGGCCACACUGGGACUGAGACACGGCCCAGACUCCUACGGGAGGCAGCAGUGGGGAAUAUUGCGCAAUGGGCGAAAGCCUGACGCAGCGACGCCGCGUGAGGGAUGAAGGCCUUCGGGUUGUAAACCUCUUUCAGCUCCGAAGAAGCGAAAGUGACGGUAGGGGCAGAAGAAGCACCGGCUAACUACGUGCCAGCAGCCGCGGUAAUACGUAGGGUGCAAGCGUUGUCCGGAAUUAUUGGGCGUAAAGAGCUCGUAGGCGGUUUGUCGCGUCUGCUGUGAAAUUCCAGGGCUUAACCCUGGACCUGCAGUGGGUACGGGCAGACUAGAGUGCGGUAGGGGAGAUCGGAAUUCCUGGUGUAGCGGUGAAAUGCGCAGAUAUCAGGAGGAACACCGGUGGCGAAGGCGGAUCUCUGGGCCGUAACUGACGCUGAGGAGCGAAAGCAUGGGGAGCGAACAGGAUUAGAUACCCUGGUAGUCCAUGCCGUAAACGUUGGGCGCUAGGUGUGGGGCUCAUUCCACGAGUUCUGUGCCGCAGCUAACGCAUUAAGCGCCCCGC
rnacentral:rRNA from 1 species